ACAGCUGGGAACAGAAAGCCAAGAACAGGGACAAUCAAUUUAACACCCCAAUUCUCCCCUCAAGGACAAAGCAAAUGUGGCUUGAACAGCAGUGGUUAACCAAGAGCAAUCCAGAAAUAUGCAUGAAGGACGUCACAUUGCUGUAAAUGACAGACUUGCUACAGAACCUUUACCCUAAAUGGAUACAAAGGUUGAGGAAACUCAGCUGAAAGACCUGAGCAGUGCUCAUGUAAGUCUCCAAAAGGACUGACCAAGAGCUGGCUCCCCACAAACUAAGCAACUUCUUCUGGUGUGCCCCCUCCAAGUCUUGCUGUGGCACUGAACAGCUUCCCGGGAUGGUCCAUUUUAAGACUCACUUUCAGCUGGGGUUGCAUAGUUCCUCCAGGCUUAUCCAUGGGCUUCACCCCUCUUGGGCUGCAGAGCAACUCCCCUUGUUUUGAGAACAAUUUUUCUUUCACACAGAAAAAAUGGGCAAUCAAUCUGUAAAGUUCCUAUGCUGUCAAAAGCACAAUUUUGAUGCAAAAAUUGAAGCUGGCGACUGUUCAGCUCCAUCCUAAGAAGGCUAAGUACUGCUGAAAAGGGAAGUGGCUGUUUGAGAAUUCUUCCUCUGCCAGAUUAGACAACUGAGAAGAGUCACACCCACAGUAAAUGAUGUGACAAGGGGGAAGAUCUUAAAUCAUUUUGGAAAGCAGAGCAUUGCUUGAUAUGUGGGAGUAGGGUGAUUGUUGGCUGGAGUGCUUCAAGUUGCUGAAAAUGAAGAGAGCAAGGGGUAUUUCUAGGAGGUUCAAUUUAAAACCCAAUGAAGCUAAACUGA